rnacentral:misc_RNA from 1 species
AACGCACCUUGCGCUCCUUGGUAUUCCGAGGAGCAUGCCUGUUUGAGUGUCAUUAAUAUAUAUCAACCUUCUCAUUUCUGAGUGGUUUGGAUGUGGGGGGUUUGCUGGCCUCUUAAAAUGAGUUCAGCUCCCCUGAAAUGCAUUAGCAGAACAACCCUGUUCAUUGGCGUGAUAACUAUCUACGCUAUUGAUUGUGAGGGAUGGUUCAGCUUUCUAACAGUCCUUGGACAAUAUUAUCAUUUAUGUGACCUCAAAUCAGGUAGGACUACCCGCUGAACUUAA